rnacentral:rRNA from 1 species
AUACGGAGGGUCCGAGCGUUAUCCGGAUUUAUUGGGCUUAAAGGGUGCGCAGGCGGCCAUUUAAGUCAGCGGUUAAAUCUUGGGGCUCAACCCCAGUCUGCCGUUGAUACUGGGUGGCUUGAUUUCGGGCGAGGGUGGCGGGAUUCGUUGUGGAGCGGUGGAAUGCAUAGAUAUGAAGAAGAACCACGAUUGCGUAGGCAGCUGACCAGACCGCAAAUGACGCUCAUGCACGAAAGUGCGGGGAUCGAACAGGAUUAGAUACCCUGGUAGUCCGCACAGUAAACGAUGAAUACUUGUUUUCGGCGAUAUAAUGUCGGAGGCAAAGCGAAAGCGAUAAGUAUUCCACCUGGGGAGUACGCCGGCAACGGUGAAACUUAAAUGAAUUGACGGGG